AGCCAGUGUGGCACAGUGGUUUGAGCGUUGGACUAGGCUCUGGAGAUCAGGGUUCGAAUCCCUGCUGGGCUA